rnacentral:rRNA from 1 species
UACAGAGACUGCAAGCGUUAUUCGGAUUCACUGGGCGUAAAGGGUGCGCAGGCGGCCAAGUGUGUGAGGCGUGAAAGCCUGGAGCUUAACUCCAGAAUUGCACCUCAAACUACAUGGCUAGAGCAUAGGAGAGGGUAGCGGAAUUCACGGUGUAGCAGUGAAAUGCGUAGAUAUCGUGAGGAACACCAGAGGCGAAGGCGGCUACCUGGACAAUUGCUGACGCUCAGGCACGAAAGCGUGGGGAGCAAAAGGG